GAGAUAGGAUGGAAUCAUUGAGGCCAUGAAGUUGUGAUGGGUAGACAUGUGGCAGAAAAUAAAAAACAAUGUUAAAUAGCUAUUUGGAAUGCAAGAUGAAAAUCGAGGACACGUCGAUGCAACUUCCGGAGUAUC